rnacentral:lncRNA from 10 species
CCAAGAAUUUGCCCAACGUUUUUAGAUGUCCUCCUCUCUAAAUGAUGAAGGAAGACUUGGAUUCAGAGAAAGAGAAAAAGGAGAUGUGACAAGGAGAGUAGAAGUUGGCAUGGUGGAAGAAGGAAGAAGGCACCACAAGCCAAGGAAUACAGCAACCUCUAGAAGCUGGAAAAAGCAAGAAAAUAGAUUCAUUCGUGGAGCAUCCAGAAGAACCAUUCUUGCAGAGACCCUUAUUUUAGCCCAUUGAAACUUAGUUGAACUUCUGUUCAGGCCACUGAAAUGAUGCCCCUUCCUUGAUAAGGCACAAUACCUACACCAGCAGCCAGAGAUGUUAUGGUUUAAGGUCCUCAGCGGCCUGUGAGUGUCAAUGUUGGUAUUUUUGGCUGUACUUACAUCCAGCAGCUGCAACCCCCAGUCAUAGCAUAAGAUGACAAAAACUGCAAGGUCACAGGCGAAUGUAGCCAGAAAUUUGUGCAGCCUCCAUAGGGCUACAUAAG